rnacentral:lncRNA from 1 species
AGAGACACCAAUGAAUAGGGCGAAGGGUACUUUGAAUAUGAGUAAAUUACGUAUAUUUCGUGCUGCGCUUUUUAUUUUACCCACUAAAUGUUAUUACGUGGAUAUUAUAUUUUUCAUUUCUAAUUUUCAUGCGACGAAUAUUACGCGCAUUGUAUGCAUUUUUGCAGAAUUAAAAUUUUAUGUAUGAACAUCCGCAGUCUGGAUACAAAGUAUCGGGAGUAAAAACGGAGUAAAUUAUUUUUGGGAUGUUUCUCAGUGUCAAGCUUAUAUAUACACAUAUAUAACGCAAGCUAUGUCAACCCUGAUACGUUCUUUGAUUCAUUUUCGAUUCAGUCGAAAACGAAAGAAUUCUCGCUUAUACAAGUAUUCAAGUUUAUACUAAGAUCUUUUCUAGAACGUCGAAGAUCUCGUCCAUUUCACGAAAACAAAGUUGAAACAUAACGAUUUGAAGAGCGAAAUUGUAUCUGCCGUACGAAAAGAAAAGGCCAACAAAUUACAAACGACGUAUCGGAAAUUUUGGAGCAACCGCAACCGCAAGCGGAAACACGCCGUUAGCCCCAGUUUCUACACGUCAGCUGUUGCCUCUUACACAAGACUCCACCAAGAUUUACUGUGGAGGGCAGAAUCGUAUCCAGCGAGGGCGCUUCACGGGGAACCACCAUCGCGCCGACUCCGAAAAGUCUGCAAAUCCAACGUCGAACUACGACCUAUGGAAGGGAUGUCAUCGAUCGCACGUACACAAGGUCUAUGGUCUGUAAGUAUAGCAAUCCCUUAUUUUCUAUUCUUUAGAACAGGACGAGUGGUACUCUUAUGAGUGGAAAACUCCGAACAAGCUUCGGAUCAAUGGAUUCUUGAACCACGAUUUUUAUUUUUCAGAGUACAUAUAUUGUUAGUUGUAUUGGAUAUAUUUUAUUAAAUACAUUCGAUUCGACGUGCCUCCUGGUCGUUUUAGUUCAAGUAUCAUUUUAUUAAACAUUAUGAUAUCCUUUCACAACAAGGUAAUUAUUGAUAGAGAUGAUUGAUUGGAAAUUUUUAAAUAUUUAAUCAUAGAUAAGAUAUAAUAUGGGUCAACCAGUGUAUUUUUAUAUUACGUAAUGAUGUUAGUUAUUAUAUAUAAAAGAAUAUCUUUUCGAAACGUCAAAUAGUAUUGACAAAAUUUUGAAUUAUUUGGUACAUGCACUACAAUGUAUAACACAUGUACGCAAGAUUUUUUAAGAUCCACAAAAAAUGUAAAGAUUAGAAUGAAUUGCAUAAUAGAGUACGCAGACCUUAGGUCGAUACUGUUUUCUAAAGAAUUAUUUUUGAAUAAAAGACAUCAACUAUCAAUUCUUGCUACGAAUAGGUGAUUACCAUAAAGAUACAUAUAAAGGAUAGAGUACGCGAACCAUAUGUUACCGAGUAAAUGGAUAUGAUAUGGUAAUAGAAAAAGAAUGCUGCAUAGAAGUUCCUUGUGUCUUCGUCUAAUCAGACACGCACACUGAUAUCGUUCGUUAAUCGAUAUUACACUUCUAUAUUUACUGAUCGAAUGUGCAUAUUAUACAUAGGUAUAAGACAAGGAUACAAAGGGCUUCUAUACAGCGUUCUCUUUCUAUUUUUAUAUCACCCUCCCAGCUCGAUCACGCACUCUAUCUUUAUAUCUCUAUAGUGUUUACACAAAAGAUCCCACUGUACACUAAUUUCAGCCACCUUCUAGUAUACAAGUCUUAUCUGUUGCUAUUAAUUAUAAAUAUCAUUGUAAUAAUAUUCGAUAUUUAUUAACAAUUAAAAUUAUACGUAUAAAUUGUUAGAAAUUCUAUUUUAUUUCGUUAAAUUUAAGAAAGUAAAUAUUGUAGACAUUCAUCUAUCUAUACCAUUUACAGUUUAAAAUACGCUGGCUAAGUUUAGGAUCUGCUUCGUACGAAGACAGAACGUUGAAUGAACGCGAAUUACGAUUUCAUGACUCUUAUAUAAACAGCAACCACUAUCUCCGAUAGGUCGCGGUAAUUCACGA